CGGGUGAGUAAUGCCUAGGAAUCUGCCUGGUAGUGGGGGACAACGUUUCGAAAGUAACGCUAAUACCGCAUACGUCCUACGGGAGAAAGCAGGGGACCUUCGGGCCUUGCGCUAUCAGAUGAGCCUAGGUCGGAUUAGCUAGUUGGUGAGGUAAUGGCUCACCAAGGCGACUAUCCGUAACUGGUCUGAGAGGAUGAUCAGUCACACUGGAACUGAGACACGGUCCAG
rnacentral:rRNA from 1 species